rnacentral:misc_RNA from 1 species
UUAGAACAGUCUUAUCAUGAUAGAGAAAAUGGCUCAUUUUUGAAGCAUUUAAUAUUGAAGCUUCAUCCUCUAAAUUCCAAGAAUUUAGUUUAUGUAUUUUGUUUGAGUUUAACUCUUGAAAUCUAGCUGCAAAAGUAGAUUCGAUAUAUCUAAACUUGUAAGAUUAAUUUUCUGAGUAAGAUGCUCCAUUCCUCUCUUAGUUGAUUAAGUAGAAACCAUGUGAUAUUUGUCUCUAUAAAUAGUCAUGUAUGGCAGAAAGUAUGUAAGAAAGAACAGUAAGAAAUCAAUAUCACUUUCAGCAGAAAUUUCUCUUAUUUUUCUUAGUUUACAGGGAUAGCAAAAUAGGAUGCAAGUGGCUCAUCUUAGAUGUUAAGUUGGCAUUUUCUAGUUAUGUUGGGCAGUCUGCUGAUCAGAUUUUGUUUCUCUCUCUUUGACUCUUUAAUUCAGUUAAAUCUAAUUAUUGUUGUCCCAUUAGAGAUGGGGCUGCUUAGAUGAUAAGUAGAUUAAUGGAAGAGUGAAUGAACAGAU